rnacentral:rRNA from 1 species
AUUGAACGCUGGCGGCAUGCUUUACACAUGCAAGUCGAACGGUAGAGGGGGCAACCCCUUGAGAGUGGCGAACGGGUGAGUAAUGCAUCGGAACGUGCUCAGUCGAGGGGGAUAACGCAGCGAAAGCUGUGCUAAUACCGCAUACGAUCUCUGGAUGAAAGCGGGGGACCGAAAGGCCUCGCGCGAUUGGAGCGGCCGAUGGCAGAUUAGGUAGUUGGUGGCGUAAAGGCUCACCAAGCCGACGAUCUGUAGCUGGUCUGAGAGGACGACCAGCCACACUGUGACUGAGACACGGGCCAGACUCCUACGGGAGGCAGCAGUGGGGAAUUUUGGACAAUGGGCGCAAGCCUGAUCCAGCAAUGCCGCGUGCAGGAAGAAGGCCUUCGGGUUGUAAACUGCUUUUGUACGGAACGAAACGGUCUGGGUUAAUACCCUGGGCUAAUGACGGUACCGUAAGAAUAAGCACCGGCUAACUACGUGCCAGCCGCCGCCGUAACAC